rnacentral:rRNA from 1 species
UACGUAGGGGGCAAGCGUUGUCCGGAAUCAUUGGGCGUAAAGCGCGUGUAGGCGGCUCGGUAAGUCUGCUGUGAAAGUCCAGGGCUCAACCCUGGGAUGCCGGUGGAUACUGUCGAGCUCGAGUCCGGAAGAGGCGAGUGGAAUUCCUGGUGUAGCGGUGAAAUGCGCAGAUAUCGGGAGGAACACCAGUAGCGAAGGCGGCACUCUGGGCCGGUACUGACGCUGAGGAGCGAAAGCGUGGGGAGCGAACAGG